UCCAGACUCCUACGGGAGGCAGCAGUGGGGAAUAUUGCACAAUGGGGGAAACCCUGAUGCAGCGACGCCGCGUGAGUGAAGAAGUAUUUCGGUAUGUAAAGCUCUAUCAGCAGGGAAGAAAAUGACGGUACCUGACUAAGAAGCCCCGGCUAACUACGUGCCAGCAGCCGCGGUAAUACGGAGGAUGCGAGCGUUAUCCGGAUUUAUUGGGUUUAAAGGGUGCGUAGGCGGAUUUUUAAGUCAGCGGUAAAAUGUCCGGGCUCAACCCGGGCCGGCCGUUGAAACUGGCAGUCUCGAGUUGGAGAGAAGUAUGCGGAAUGCGCGGUGUAGCGGUGAAAUGCAUAGAUAUCGCGCAGAACUCCGAUUGCGAAGGCAGCAUGCCGGCUCCACACUGACGCUGAGGCACGAAAGCGUGGGUAUCGAACAGGAUUAGAUACCCCCGUAC
rnacentral:rRNA from 1 species